AUCCAGCUGACGGGUCUCGAAUAGGACGAAACGCGCGUCGUGGAU
rfam:Schistosoma rodhaini strain Burundi genome assembly, scaffold: SROB_scaffold0001520